rnacentral:lncRNA from 1 species
CAAAGGUUCUCAGCCUCUAGCCCAGCUGGAAUCUCCAGGAAGAGGCAGAGACAGUUUGGUGAAAAAGAGGCAGGGGAGGAGGGGGUGGUGAGAGGAGAAAGCAGCCUUCCAAUUGAAGAUCAGCCCUCAGGUAAAGGUCAGCUUCGGGCAGGCUGGCCUCAGGCGGAGUCAGGGUCAGAGGAAGGAGCAGCAGCAGGGUGGGACUGGGGCAUUCUACAUCUCAUUCAGGUCAAGCAGAGUCUGGGUCAGAGGAAGGAGCAGCAGCAGGGUGGGACUGGG